rnacentral:rRNA from 1 species
GACGAACGCUGGCGGCGUGCUUAACACAUGCAAGUCGAACGGAAAGGCCUGCUUUCCCUUGUGGAUUGCGGGUACUCGAGUGGCGAACGGGUGAGUAACACGUGAGUGAUCUGCCCCCAACUUGGGUAUAAGCCUGGGAAACUGGGUCUAAUUCCCGAUAGGACUGCAGGGUUGUGCCUGUGGUGGAAAACGAUCUUCUAGUGGUUGGGGAUGAGCUCGCGGCCUAUCAGCUUGUUGGUGGGGUAAUGGCCGGCCAAGGCGGCGACGGGUAGCCGGCCUGGGAGGGUGGACGGCCACAUUGGGACUGAGAUACGGCCCAGACUCCUACGGGAGGCAGCAGUGGGGAAUAAUGCACAAAGGGCGGAAGCCAGAUGCAGCGACGCCGCGUGGGGGAUGACGGCCUUCGGGUUGUAAACUCCUUUCGACCGCGAGGAAGCCACCUGGUUGGAAGGGUGGUGACGGUAGUGGUAGAAGAAGCACCGGCUAACUACGUG